AGUGAACGCUGGCGGUAGGCCUAACACAUGCAAGUCGAACGGCAGCACAGUAAGAGCUUGCUCUUACGGGUGGCGAGUGGCGGACGGGUGAGGAAUACAUCGGAAUCUACUUUUUCGUGGGGGAUAACGUAGGGAAACUUACGCUAAUACCGCAUACGACCUACGGGUGAAAGCAGGGGAUCUUCGGACCUUGCGCGAUUGAAUGAGCCGAUGUCGGAUUAGCUAGUUGGCGGGGUAAAGGCCCACCAAGGCGACGAUCCGUAGCUGGUCUGAGAGGAUGAUCAGCCACACUGGAACUGAGACACGGUCCAGACUCCUACGGGAGGCAGCAGUGGGGAAUAUUGGACAAUGGGCGCAAGCCUGAUGCAGCCAUACCGCGUGGGUGAAGAAGGCCUUCGGGUUGUAAAGCCCUUUUGUUGGGAAAGAAAAACAGCAGGUUAAUACCCCGCUGUUCUGACGGUACCCAAAGAAUAAGCACCGGCUAACUUCGUG
rnacentral:rRNA from 1 species